rnacentral:rRNA from 1 species
GACGAACGCUGGCGGCGUGCUUAACACAUGCAAGUCGAACGGAAAGGCCCUGCUUUUGUGGGGUGCUCGAGUGGCGAACGGGUGAGUAACACGUGAGUAACCUGCCCUUGACUUUGGGAUAACUUCAGGAAACUGGGGCUAAUACCGGAUAGGAGCUCCUGCUGCAUGGUGGGGGUUGGAAAGUUUCGGCGGUUGGGGAUGGACUCGCGGCUUAUCAGCUUGUUGGUGGGGUAGUGGCUUACCAAGGCUUUGACGGGUAGCCGGCCUGAGAGGGUGACCGGCCACAUUGGGACUGAGAUACGGCCCAGACUCCUACGGGAGGCAGCAGUGGGGAAUAUUGCACAAUGGGCGGAAGCCUGAUGCAGCAACGCCGCGUGCGGGAUGACGGCCUUCGGGUUGUAAACCGCUUUCGCCUGUGACGAAGCGUGAGUGACGGUAAUGGGUAAAGAAGCACCGGCUAACUACGUGCCAGCAGCCGCGGUGAUACGUAGGGUGCGAGCGUUGUCCGGAUUUAUUGGGCGUAAAGGGCUCGUAGGUGGUUGAUCGCGUCGGAAGUGUAAUCUUGGGGCUUAACCCUGAGCGUGCUUUCGAUACGGGUUGACUUGAGGAAAGUAGGGGAGAAAUGGAAUUCCUGGUGGAGCGGUGGAAUGCGCAGAUAUCAGGAGGAACACCAGGUGGCGAAGGCGGUUCUCUGGGCCUUUCCUGACGCUGAGGAGCGAAAGCGUGGGGAGCGAACAGGCUUAGAUACCCUGGUAGUCCACGCUGUAAACGGUGGGGUACUAGGUGUGGGGUCCAUUCCACGGGUUCCGUGCCGUAGCUAACGCUUUAAGUACCCCGCCUGGGGAGUACGGCCGCAAGGCUAAAACUCAAAGGAAUUGACGGGGCCCCGCACAAGCGGCGGAGCAUGCGGAUUAAUUCGAUGCAACGCGUAGAACCUUACCUGGGUUUGACAUGGAUCGGGAGUGCUCAGAGAUGGGUGUGCCUCUUUUGGGGUCGGUUCACAGGUGGUGCAUGCCUGUCGUCAGCUAGUGUCGUGAGAUGUUGGGUUAAGUCCCGCAACGAGCGCAAUCCUUGUUCACUGUUGCCAGCACGUUAUGGUGGGGACUCAGUGGAGACCGCCGGGGUCAACUCGGAGGAAGGUGGGGAUGACGUCAAGUCCUCAUGCCCCUUACGUCCAGGGCUUCACGCAUGCUACAAUGGCUGGUACAGAGAGUGGCGAGCCUGUGAGGGUGAGCGAAUCUCGGAAAGCCGGUCUCAGUUCGGAUUGGGGUCUGCAACUCGCCCUCAUGAAGUCGGAGUCGCUAGUAAUCGCAGAUCAGCAACGCUGCGGUGAAUACGUUCCCGGG